rnacentral:rRNA from 1 species
GAUGAACGCUGGCGGCGUGCCUAAUACAUGCAAGUCGAGCGAACGGACGAGAAGCUUGCUUCUCUGAUGUUAGCGGCGGACGGGUGAGUAACACGUGGAUAACCUACCUAUAAGACUGGGAUAACUUCGGGAAACCGGAGCUAAUACCGGAUAAUAUUUUGAACCGCAUGAUUCAAAAGUGAAAGACGGUCUUGCUGUCACUUAUAGAUGGAUCCGCGCUGCAUUAGCUAGUUGGUAAGGUAACGGCUUACCAAGGCAACGAUGCAUAGCCGACCUGAGAGGGUGAUCGGCCACACUGGAACUGAGACACGGUCCAGACUCCUACGGGAGGCAGCAGUAGGGAAUCUUCCGCAAUGGGCGAAAGCCUGACGGAGCAACGCCGCGUGAGUGAUGAAGGUCUUCGGAUCGUAAAGCUCUGUUAUUAGGAAAGAACAUAUGUGUAAGUAACUGUGCACAUCUUGACGGUACCUAAUCAGAAAGCCACGGCUAACUACGUG